UGGUGGAGUGAUUUGUCUGCUUAAUUGGGAUAACGAACGAGACCUCGGCCCUUAAAUAGCCCGGUCCGCGUUUGCGGGCCGCUGGCUUCUUAGGGGGACUAUCGGCUCAAGCCGAUGGAAGUGCGCGGCAAUAACA
rnacentral:rRNA from 1 species